UACAGGGGGGGCAAGCGUUGUUCGGAAUUACUGGGCGUAAAGCGCACGUAGGCGGAUACUUAAGUCAGGGGUGAAAUCCCGGGGCUCAACCCCGGAACUGCCUUUGAUACUGGGUAUCUCGAGUCCGGAAGAGGUGAGUGGAAUUCCGAGUGUAGAGGUGAAAUUCGUAGAUAUUCGGAGGAACACCAGUGGCGAAGGCGGCUCACUGGUCCGGUACUGACGCUGAGGUGCGAAAGCGUGGGGAGCAAACAGG
rnacentral:rRNA from 1 species